CCCGGGAACGUAUUCACCGCAGCGUUCUGAUCUGCGAUUACUAGCGACUCCGACUUCAUGGGGUCGAGUUGCUAGACCCCAAUCCGAACUGAGACCGGCUCUUUGGGAUUCGCUCCACCUUACAGUUUCGCAGCCCUUUGUACCUGGCCAUUGUAGCAUGCGUGAAGCCCUGGACAUAAGGGGCAUGAUGACAUUGACGUCAUCCCCACCUUCCUCCGAGAUUGACCCCGGCAGUCUCCUAUGAGUCCCCACCAUAACGUGCUGGCAACAUAGGACGAGGGUUGCGCUCGUUGCGGGACUUAACCCAACAUCUCACGACACGAGCUGACGACAGCCAUGCACCACCUGUAUAGGACCCUUACGGACCCCCCAUCUCUGGAGGAUUUCCCUAUAUGUCAAACCCAG
rnacentral:rRNA from 1 species